UACGUAGGGUGCAAGCGUUAAUCGGAAUUACUGGGCGUAAAGCGUGCGCAGGCGGCUUUGCAAGUCAGAUGUGAAAUCCCCGGGCUUAACCUGGGAACUGCAUUUGUGACUGCAUGGCUGGAGUGCGGCAGAGGGGGAUGGAAUUCCGCGUGUAGCAGUGAAAUGCGUAGAUAUGCGGAGGAACACCGAUGGCGAAGGCAAUCCCCUGGGCCUGCACUGACGCUCAGGCACGAAAGCGUGGGGAGCAAACAGG
rnacentral:rRNA from 1 species